GCCAAGGAUAGAGCCUGGAUUUGUCAUGUGCAAGAAUCAGUCUUUUCCUUAAAGAAGUUAUUGGAGCCUCUCUCUGAUGGCUCUCAUCACUGAACUUUGAACACCUGGUUAUGAGAUUUUACAAUCAACAAUCUGUGAGCCAUUGCAUACAGCACUACGUCUCAGUCUCGUCUCUCUAAAUGCUUUCCAUGUCUCCAUACGCCGUAAGAAACAAAUAUCAACUGGACCACCUAGAUGACUACAAUGUUAAUCAUCGUGGAUGAAAGAAAAGUUAAGCAUCCUUCAAGUUCAUCCUAUCAACUUCAAAUCCUGUUCAAAAAAAGAAAAGGCCGGCACUGUCUGAUUUAGUCACCAGGUGGCAGCAUUAAAUUAUCAAAGAAGGCUGGAGAGAUUGCUUAACCCGCCAUGCACCUACUUUGCAUACAGGAAGUUGGCUGGAGGUUCCCUUACCAAAAAGUCUGGAAUAGAGCACCCCCCAA